rnacentral:lncRNA from 1 species
CUUGUGUUCAGAUUGUUUUAAGUGAUAAUUUAACAAUAUUUUUCCAAAUAAAUGGAAAGAAACUUUUAUUUAUAUCAAAUAAUUGAGUGUCUCGACUGUGUGACAUUAUGUCUUGUGUGGUAUGGGGCUGCAGCUCACAUUCAGGAAGAAAAGAAAAUAGCCAACAACUUCUGUCGUUUCAUCGAUAUUAAAUCCAAAAGUGUCGACUGGAUUUACAUGAAAAGUCAGUUCAAGAAGACGAGAUGAAAAAUUUAAAAGAAAAGCUGAACAAGUCCCGCCUCAAGAUCAAACGACUUAAUGAAAAAAAAAAAACAAUGUGACAGGGUGUCACAAAGACAGUUUCUAAGCAAAUUGACACUGUUUAGAAAUUAAUAAAUUUGUAUUUAUUGUAAAUAUAAUGUACAUAAUUAAUAACGUGUGAAAUAAAUACUUGCUAAUGAAAAUGAACAGAUUUACGAUCUAAUUUAUAUUUCAUUUUACCUCCUGUUCUUAUUUACUCCUACUCCAACACUCCAGGUUGAUACGAACUGCGCCCAAUAAAGAAUGUAAUGAAUGUUAUAGAUUUGUGUAAGCGACUUAGAUAAAUCUUGACUAAACCUUCCUUUACAAAUACAAAUAUACUUUAUUGCACACAACAUACAAUACUUACAAGUUUUACACGAAAGAUACAGUACACCACCUACCUACCUUUUACUUUC